AAGGAUUUAGGUUAAAAAAACCCGUGACCUUCAAAGUCACUAAUAGAUCUAAAAUCUAAGCCUUA
rnacentral:tRNA from 1 species